rnacentral:pre_miRNA from 1 species
CAACUACUCCCUCCGUCCCAAAAUUCUUGUCUUAAACUUGUCUAGAUAUGAAUGUAUCUAGUCACACACUUUAGUAUUUAGAUACAUCUAUUUCUAGAUAAAUCUAAGACAAGAAUUUUGGGACGGAGGGAGUACAUC